GUAACACGUGGGCAUCUGCCCUCGGAUGGGGGAUUAAUCGCCGAAAGGCGAGCUAAUACCGCAUGACAUUCCCGGGACUCCGGUCCUGGGACUCAAAGGCCGAAGGCGUCUGAGGAGGAGCCCGGCCCGAUUAGCUAGUUGGUGAGGUAACGGUCACCAGUUUGAUCGGUACCGGUCUGAAGGAUGGCGCAAUGGAAUGAGAGGCCAAUCCUAGGAGGCAGCAGUGGGGAAUAUUGCGCAAUGGGCGAAAGCCUGACGCAGCGACGCCGCGUGGGGGAUGAAGCUUUUCGGAGUGUAAAACCCCUUUCGACCCGGAGAAUGACCCGCAGGGUUGAC
rnacentral:rRNA from 1 species